rnacentral:rRNA from 1 species
CCUACGGGGGGCAGCAGUGAGGAAUAUUGGUCAAUGGACGAGAGUCUGAACCAGCCAAGUAGCGUGAAGGAUGACUGCCCUAUGGGUUGUAAACUUCUUUUAUAUGGGAAUAAAAUGUUCCACGUGUGGGAUUUUGUAUGUACCAUAUGAAUAAGGAUCGGCUAACUCCGUGCCAGCAGCCGCGGUAAUACGGAGGAUCCGAGCGUUAUCCGGAUUUAUUGGGUUUAAGGGGAGCGUAGGUGGAUUGUUAAGUCAGUUGUGAAAGUCUGCGGCUCAACCGUAAAAUUGCAGUUGAAACUGGCAGUCUUGAGUACAGUAGAGGUGGGCGGAAUUCGUGGUGUAGCGGUGAAAUGCUUAGAUAUCACGAAGAACUCCGAUUGCGAAGGCAGUUCACUGGACUGCAACUGACACUGAGGCUCGAAAGUGUGGGUAUCAAACAGGAUUAGAUACCCUAGUAGUC